CGGGUACUGCAAAUCAGGAAAGACAAUAUAUCUCCCGGGCCGUUUCUUCUAACUUGGGAGCUGUCUCUUUUGAGGUUGUGGCCUUAAUAUCGCGGCGCCCACCUACUUUAAAGUAGGCCAAGGUAGAAAUUAUGUUUUUCGGAUUUUGCGGUCCCGUG
rnacentral:other from 1 species